GCCUAGGACUUGCACUUACAGUUUGGAUUCCCGUUAAUAUACUUGCAAGAAUACAUUUCAGGAAACCUUAAAGACUACCACCACAACAAAGGUGAAAAACAGCAGGGGAAGGAAAGAGCAGUGUCAAGGGCAGCGUGAACACAGAGACCUAGGCUCUGGGCAAAGUGGAAGGCAGGCAUUGUCAUUAUUAUUGGUGAAUCUCUAUAGGAGGAACAGUCACUGAGGCAACAUCCUCAUGGGGCCGAACUGAAUCCUGCCAGAGAGCUUAGAGAUUGGUGACAAUGACAGUCAAUAGGGAUGCCACAGGAAUGCCUUCUCACUGUGAACUAGUUUUCAUGAUACCGGGAGACAUCAUGCAAGUUUCCAAGGGAAGGAAGCAACCAAUAAGCAUAUCCAGUUUCAAAAUUGCAUCUUAACACCUCAUCAAUGAGAUUGCAGCCAUUUUAAGAAGAGAAACAGGAAGAUCUUUCUCCCUCCACCAGAUGAGAACACAGACCAACAAUAUCUCCCAUGAAAGCCUUAACUUCUUGCCACUUUGAUUUAAACAUAACCAUCCAGAACUAUCAGAAAUAAAUGACACCAUCAUUUGGACAAAGUGGCAGGCUACACAAUGAGAAAAUAUUUACAUCAACUUUACUUCCCAUAUAGGGAUAAUAUUCAAAAUAUAUAAUGAACUAAAAAAAUAAAAGACUUCAUGAA